rnacentral:rRNA from 1 species
AACGAACGCUGGCGGCAGGCCUAACACAUGCAAGUCGAGCGCGCCCUUCGGGGUGAGCGGCGGACGGGUGAGUAACGCGUGGGAACGUGCCCUUCUCUGCGGAAUAGCCUCGGGAAACUGAGAGUAAUACCGCUUACGCCCUUUGGGGGAAAGAUUUAUCGGAGAAGGAUCGGCCCGCGUUGGAUUAGGUAGUUGGUGGGGUAAUGGCCCACCAAGCCGACGAUCCAUAGCUGGUUUGAGAGGAUGAUCAGCCACACUGGGACUGAGACACGGCCCAGACUCCUACGGGAGGCAGCAGUGGGGAAUCUUAGACAAUGGGGGCAACCCUGAUCUAGCCAUGCCGCGUGAGUGAUGAAGGCCUUAGGGUUGUAAAGCUCUUUCAGCUGGGAAGAUAAUGACGGUACCAGCAGAAGAAGCCCCGGCUAACUCCGUG